rnacentral:lncRNA from 1 species
CUUGUAAUCUAUCUAAUGUAUCUUGAUUCUUGUGUAUUUAAUAAUCUUUUUCAGUAAUUUCUCUUAUCAUGGUUUUACUACAAAUUUAUCCCAUAUGAUAUCAUCUUCAAUCUUGUAUGUCGUAUUGACUCAUUUGCCCCCACCAUAUGCUUCAAUAAAUGAAACCUGUUAUGAUCAGAAACAAAGAUGUAACAGAUAACAUUAAGAUAAUAAUAAUAAUAGGAUUUUGGGGCUAUGGAUGAUUAUAUUAUGCGAUUUCAGAAACUUAUGAGAAAACAUAUAACCUUUUUCCUUAUUCAUAGAUCUGAAUGAAUCUGAGCUGUAGUUUAAUAUUCUAUAUCGAAAUCCAAAGGAACGAACUAAUAGCUCUAUUGAUUGAUCCAUUUUCCAACGAUAAAUCAAUUAAAUUUUCACAAUUAUGAAAGCUACCCAACAAUAUUCGAGAUUCGUAACAAUAUGAUAUUGGAAUAGUUUUCAUGAUCCUGGCAACGAUCUAUGACCCUAAUUAAAGAUUAUUAAGCCUUCACAGGAUUAAUAAAAAAAACCCCAAAAUGUAAAAAAGAAAAAAGAAAAAAGAAACUGAAGGAUUUGGUUAUAAAGUUUGAAAGAAAACGGUCGGUACCUGUAGAUAGAUGAAUCCAGAAAGAAAUAAGAUCUUCUGUUCUUCAGCGGAGGGAUUCUGGGAUAUGUUCAUUUGUCACCAAUUUCAGUCAUACAAAACUAAUCUUAUAAUAAUUUCCAAUUUUCAUGUUCCUCGUAUGUUUUCAGGUAUAUGAGAGAGAGAGAGAGAGAGAGAGAGAGAGAGAGACGUUGGGUAGAAGAGCAAAUAGAUUGGGUGAUGAGUAGAAGACCUAAUAGUAAGAUAAUAAUAAUGUAUAAUGUAGGCCCUAGUGGGCUUUCUCAUUGCUAUAUAAUAUGUAUACAAGUUAAUCGGCCGAAAUCCAAAAUUGGGUUUCAU